ACAUCCAGAGAAUUUAGCAGAGAUGCUUUAGUGCCUUCGGGAACUCUGAGACAGGUGCUGCAUGGCUGUCGUCAGCUCGUGUUGUGAAAUGUUGGGUUAAGUCCCGNAACGAGCGCAACCCUUAUCCUUUGUUGCCAGCACGUAAUGGUGGGAACUCAAAGGAGACUGCCGGUGAUAAACCGGAGGAAGGUGGGGAUGACGUCAAGUCAUCAUGGCCCUUACGAGUAGGGCUACACACGUGCUACAAUGGCGCAUACAAAGAGAAGCGACCUCGCGAGAGCAAGCGGACCUCAUAAAGUGCGUCGUAGUCCGGAUUGGAGUCUGCAACUCGACUCCAUGAAGUCGGAAUCGCUAGUAAUCGUAAAUCAGAAUGUUACGGUGAAUACGUUCCCGGGCCUUGUACACACCGCCCGUCACACCAUGGGAGUGGGUUGCAAAAGAAGUAGAUAGCUUAACCUUCGGGAGGGCGUUUACCACUUUGUGAUUCAUGACUGGGGUGAAGUCGUAACAAGGUAGGCGUAGCGAG
rnacentral:rRNA from 1 species